UACGUAGGUGGCAAGCGUUGUCCGGAAUUAUUGGGCGUAAAGAGCUCGUAGGCGGUUUGUCGCGUCUGCUGUGAAAACCCGAGGCUCAACCUCGGGCCUGCAGUGGGUACGGGCAGACUAGAGUGCGGUAGGGGAGAUUGGAAUUCCUGGUGUAGCGGUGGAAUGCGCAGAUAUCAGGAGGAACACCGAUGGCGAAGGCAGAUCUCUGGGCCGUAACUGACGCUGAGGAGCGAAAGCGUGGGGAGCGAACAGG
rnacentral:rRNA from 1 species